CGACCAGAGGAAAAGAAAACAGGGACCAAACCCUAGUUCUUGAUUAAUUCCAUCAAAUUCAGCCCCUAAAUCAAACAAUCCUGAAUGCGUGAAGCUGAAUUAGAGUCUAUAACAUCAUUCUUCACAAGGCAACACGGUUGAGGCGUCGGGAAGUCAAGCCGGUGCGGACACUCGUUUGAAGGGAAAGCUCUAAGCUUAUAGGUAAUGCAAGUACGUGGAUGAUGAUCAAGUCAAUGCUUCCGAACCGAACACAUUCAAGAUCUAGUCCCGCAACUUUUGUUAUUAUUAGUUAUUAGUAAGACUUAUGUAAAUGAAGGAAUACUUAUGUAUCCUAAUGUUGCUUUUAAACGAUUGUUAAACUCGUAAGUACUAAGCUAUCGAUAUUGUAAAUGUUUUGGUUUAACGUUUAUAAAGCUUAGU